GACGAACGCUGGCGGCGUGCUUAACACAUGCAAGUCGAACGGAAAGGCCCUGCUUUUGUGGGGUGCUCGAGUGGCGAACGGGUGAGUAACACGUGAGUAACCUGCCCUUGACUUUGGGAUAACUUCAGGAAACUGGGGCUAAUACCGGAUAGGAGCUCCUGCUGCAUGGGGGGGGUUGGAAAGUUUCGGCGGUGGGGGAUGGACUCGCGGCUUAUCAGCUUGUUGGUGGGGUAGUGGCUUACCAAGGCUUUGACGGGUAGCCGGCCUGAGAGGGUGACCGGCCACAUUGGGACUGAGAUACGGCCCAGACUCCUACGGGAGGCAGCAGUGGGGAAUAUUGCACAAUGGGCGGAAGCCUGAUGCAGCAACGCCGCGUGCGGGAUGACGGCCUUCGUGUUGUAAACCGCUUUCGCCUGUGACGAAGCGUGAGUGACGGUAAUGGGUAAAGAAGCACCGGCUAACUACGUG
rnacentral:rRNA from 1 species